rnacentral:tRNA from 1 species
UCCCUGGAGGUCUAGUGGAUAGACCACGGCGCUCUCGUCGCCGCGGCCCGGGUUCGAUCCCUGGCCAGGGAA